rnacentral:piRNA from 1 species
UGUGUAGGAUAAUGCAGAUUUUAGUUGU